CCUCAUCACAGACCCCUGCAAGCGUCCACCCGGCUUUGACCUAGCACGUUAUGAUCGGGCCCUCCUCAAUCGCUAUGGAACAGGCCAUGGCCGGUGCGCCGCUAUGUUCCAUCGCUGGGGAGCCAGAGACGACCCGAACUGCCCCUGCGGCUCCAGACAGACUGUGACCCACAUAGUCAACGACUGCCACCUCUCCAGAUUCAAAGGAGGUCUCGAAACUUGACAUCAGGCUCAACCUGACGCUGUGGACUGGCUACGGAAGAAGGGCAAACGCUAGAAGAAGAAGUGGGGAAGGAGGAGGGAGCCAGCCGGUGGGGCCCCCGGCACAGUCAGCCACAUCUUCAGAGGCGACUGAAAAAGGCGUAAUGGGGGAAAAAAAGGGUUUCACCGCUUUGACGGAGGAGUGUCAGACGAGGCCACCAGAGCCCUGAGUGAGCCGCCGCCGUCCCGUGUCAUGUCGGCGAGUUCUUGUGACAGUCUCGUCUGUGAGGCUUGAAACCGAUGGGACUUCCUAGGCCUCUGGUCGCGAGCCGGGCCUGGCAGUGGCGACACUGACCCCCCACGCCCGGGGAGGGAACUGCUCAGCUCUGGCCGAUGGUGGUGCUGGGGACUGAACCUGGGACCUCGGAGCCUCAGACAGGAGUGGCUCUUGCAGAUCCGCGAUGCCAGUCGGUGGGUGGGAGCCGUCCUGAGUGAAGUAAGGCGGCCGUAUCUCUAAGGUAACGCGAAAGGCGGGGGCUGGGUGUGACUGCAGGCUGAUGGAGGCUCAGCCCGGCUGGGAGGGAGGCUGGCGCUGCGCUGGCGCUGCCCUGGGCGCUUUCCUUCAUUCCCCUGAUCCUCUGCGGCUCUGCGGCUCAUGGCGUCCCGGCACCUCCCACAUAGAAGACCUUCGAUGACGUGGCCGUGACCCUCCCCCAGGAGGAGUGGGAGCAGCUGCGCCCUGCCCAGAGGGCCCUGUACCAUGAGGUGAUGCUGGCCAGCCCUCCCCUCCUCGGCCGGGCUGUGUGUCCGUCCUGGCCGCUCCCCCACCCCCAGCUUCCAGCACUUCCCAGUGCCGCUCUCCUGCCCCGACUCCCUGCGGCUCCAGACAGACUAUGACCCACACAGUCAACGACUGCCACCUCUCCAGAUUCAAAGGAGGUCUCGAAACUUGACAUCAGGCUCAACCUGACGCUGUGGACUGGCUACGGAAGAAGGGCAAACGCUAGAAGAAGCACUAGGGCUUGGACCUCAGCCGCGAAAGCCUGCACUUCGAUGGAGCUGGGGAUUGAACCUGGGGCUCUGGAGCCUCAGACACGAAAGUCUGUUGUAUAACCACUAUGCUGUCUCCCUGGCCGUGCCUUUAUUUGUAACUUGUGAUUGACAGCGGCUUAAAGAUUUUAAGAUUACCACGGACAGUUUCAUGCCACACCCACCCACCACCCAAGUUCUGUGUCCCGGCCCUCCCAUCUCUCAGAAGCACCAGAAUUCUCACAAGUCUUAUAAACUGCUGCUCCUGUC